AGCGAACGCUGGCGGCAUGCUUAACACAUGCAAGUCGCACGGUUGGGGGCAACUCCGGCAGUGGCGGACGGGUGAGGAACGCGUAGGAACAUAUCCUGAGGUGGGGGAUAACCCUGGGAAACUGGGGCUAAUACCGCAUGAGAGCUGAGGCUGAAAGCCGCGAGGCGCCUUAGGAGUGGCCUGCGUACGAUUAGCUUGUUGGUGGGGUAAUGGCCUACCAAGGCGACGAUCGUUAGCUGGUCUGAGAGGACGACCAGCCACACUGGGACUGAGGCACGGCCCAGACUCCUACGGGAGGCAGCAGUGGGGAAUAUUGGACAAUGGGCGCAAGCCUGAUCCAGCAAUGCCGCGUGUGUGAAGAAGGUCUUCGGAUUGUAAAGCACUUUCGGCGGGGACGAUGAUGACGGUACCCGCAGAAGAAGCCCCGGCUAACUUCGUGCCAGCCGCCGCGGUAAAAC
rnacentral:rRNA from 1 species